rnacentral:tRNA from 1 species
AAGGGUAUAGCUCAGUGAUAUAGUAUGUGCUUAGUGUGCAUGAGGUCCUGGGUUCAAUACCCAGAACCUCUG